GUUUGGCCAACCUUUUCAGUUUGUAAAUGCUUUAAAUGAGUGUCUCAUAAUAUUGCCUGAUAAGUGUGGUCAUUCUUUGGUUAUGCCAAACACAGCAGUCCCAAUAAAAUGAUGAAUAUCUA